GACGAACGCUGGCGGCGUGCUUAACACAUGCAAGUCGAACGGAAAGGCCCUGCUUUUGUGGGGUGCUCGAGUGGCGAACGGGUGAGUAACACGUGAGUAACCUGCCCUUGACUUUGGGAUAACUUCAGGAAACUGGGGCUAAUACCGGAUAGGAGCUCCUGCUGCAGGGUGGGGGUUGGAAAGUUUCGGCGGUUGGGGAUGAACUCGCGGCUUAUCAGCUUGUUGGUGGGGUAGUGGCUUACCAAGGCUUUGACGGGUAGCCGGCCUGAGAGGGUGACCGGCCACAUUGGGACUGAGAUACGGCCCAGACUCCUACGGGAGGCAGCAGUGGAGAAUAUUGCACAAUGGGCGGAAGCCUGAUGCAGCAACGCCGCGUGCGGGAUGACGGCCUUCGGGUUGUAAACCGCUUUCGCCUGUGACGAAGCGUGAGUGACGGUAAUGGGUAAAGAAGCACCGGCUAACUACGUG
rnacentral:rRNA from 1 species